ensembl:lncRNA
UUUUUUUUUUAAUUUUUUUUUUUCUUAAGACAGAGUCUCCCUCUGUCACCCAGGCUGGAGUGCAGUGGCACAAUCACUGCUCACUGCAACCUCUGCCUCUCGAGUUCAAGUGAUUCUCCUGCCUUGGCCUCCCGAGUAGCUGGGAUUACAGGUGACUGUCACCACGCCCGGAUAAUUUUUUGUAUUUUUAGUAGAGACAUAAUUUCACCCUGUUGGCCAGGCUGAUCUCGAACACCUGACCUCACGUGAUCCACCCACCUUGACCUCCCAAACUGCUGGGAAUACAGGCAUAAGCCACGGUGCCCAGCCCAUAUAGCUAUUUAAAUUUGACUAAAAUUAAAUAAAAUUAGAAGUUCAGUUUCUCAUUUACACUUCAAGCAUUCAGUUACCCACAGGUGGCCACUGACCAGAGGCUGGUAGAGACGUCACACUCCGCACUGCAGAAGGAUCUAUGGAUGAAGUGGCUCUAAGAUAAUCUUGGCAUCUUUAUAUUGAAGCUACCAAAGUUUUACUCUGAUUAUUGUAGGCAUCAGCAUUCUCCCACUUAAAAUGUCAGUGCUAUUGCAACGAUCAGAUCUGUGACUUCCCAGAAGCUCUCCUCUUCCUGGACAGAUAACUGCAGAGCAUCUGCACUCUGCCUCCACACUGAGGGACAACAGAAGCCUCCCCGUAAAAUCAGGGGGAGGAAAAAAAAAAAAGAAUCCCUAGUCCCUCUCCCCCUACAAUUUUGUGAAACUCCUCUUAAUAUUCUUCUAGAAUAACUGCCAGAGUUGCAAUAAACAAGCAUCCCUUGACCAGGAAGCAACAGGGAAGCAAGAAGAGGGAGAUGAAAGGACCCUCUGUUCCCUCUGGAACCCCAGGCCCAGCCUGGACUGAGAAAAGGCAGCACAGCCCGGCAGACCUGCACACCUGAUGCAAACCAUGCACACGGCUUCCCCAGGCCUCGGUCCCCCGUUCUGCCCUCACUGGCCACUGUGGCUCUGUUAGAGGCAGAUCCCUGAGCCCCAACACCCACAGCCAGUCCCUCCUUGCAGGUCUCAGCUCUGCUGUCACUGCUUCCCUGAUGCUUCUCAUCAUUCACGAACUAUAGCCCCUCUACCCCACAGCCCUUGCUACCGCCCACCCCACCAGGGAGUUUGGCACACAGCAGGUGCCUGACAUGCCCCAACGGGCGGGCAUGUCAGGGUAGGGCUUGGAGUUCCAAAGGCCACGUCCCGCAUACCACCACAAGUGCCACAGAGGCUGUGGAAGGGGUCCAGGCUUCAGGUUUCAGGCCUGCACUCAGCGCCUGUGGUCCCAGCUACUCGGGAGGCUGAGGCAGGAGAAUGGCGUGAACCCGGGAGGCGGAGCUUGUAGUGAGUUGAGAUCACACCACUGCACUCCAGCCUGGAUGACAGAGCGAGACUCCGUCUCAAAAAAAAAAAAAAAAAGUGGCAAACACCCCAUGUCUGCCCUGGCUCCGGCCAUCUCCAUGGGGUGGACAGAGCUUCAGAAAACCUCACUGUGGAGAGGUUUCCACAGGCCAGGCCUUUGCUCAGCAGAUGAGCGAGAGGCUCAGCCACCCUAGGGAAGAAGCUCAUAUCUGCUAUGUUACUGAUGAUAUCCACAUAAAUUUCUAUUUUGUCUCCCACACACAGACCUGGGAUCCAUGUUUGAGCAAGCGGCUCCUACCAACAGACCCUCCAUGCCAUCAUUUCCCUGACCUCCCCAAGAAGAGCCAGGCCAGGCAGCGUCCCCACAUGGGCGCUGGGGCCCAGGAAGAUCUGGGUCCUGCCCCUCUUCUCCCUCAUCCCUGCAGCACCUGGCUUGCUGUGGAAGCCCAGCAGUGCUGACUGAACCCACAUUCACCUGGGGUGUUCAGGAGAAGCCUCUGUGCAGAAAUCAGCUGGGAAGCAGGGCCGUGUGUGCUGGCCAGAUCACUCGAAUGGAUUUAGAGAACUGAAUUUUCAACACAGGUUCUGCCACCAAGUCCCUCAAACCCUUCGUGAGCCUGGAGCCACAGAGCCAUUUGCUGCACUCCCACAAUCUCUCACCACCCUGCGCAGAAGCCCAGUUUAUCCAAAGGACCAUAACAUUUUGCGUGUAAACAAAGUUUGGCAUAGUGAAUUAAAAGUGAAGUCACCACUUCUAUUUUCUAUUAAUCCAUUCAUGCAAACAUUUAUCUCUUGAGUAUGGGCAUCGAAUACUGUGGAAUUAGGAUUUAGUCCAUGCCUUCAAGAAAUAUACAUCACAGAAGAAAAGGCAUAGCUUGUAACUAACAGUGGUGAACAGGCAAGAAAUACACAUUGCAGAAGAAAAGGUAGAGCUUGUAACUGUAACAGUGGUGAACAGGCAAGAAAUACACAUCAUAGAAGGAAAAGUAGAGCUUGUAACUAAUAUCAUAGAAUGAAAGAUGUAGCUUAUAACAGUGGCGAACAGGACAGAAUCUCACAGGUUCAUCAGGAGCCGCCGAGGAGGAAGCCAUGAUUCAUUUCCACCUGCAGUAGAUAAAUGUUUUCUGGAUAAAGUAACUUUUCUAGAGUGAUAUCUGCUCCUCAUUAUUGAAAUCUUGCUUGAUAGGGUAUUAAAUUACCACUUUAUGUGCUGCUUAUAUAAAAUACAUCAUUGUCAGGGGAGGUUAUAAAAUAACCUUAAUACUUCACACAAGCUUCGACUGUGAAUGGUGCGAGGCAAUGGGACGAUGUGUUCCCUUGUUCUCGAGAUGCAGAAGGGGCAAGACCCUGGUUCCCUUCUCCUCCCCACCGCCCUGUUCCCAGAUGAGGGGCAGAGGCAAGGCCGCUGUGCAGUCCUAGAGUUGGCUCCAGGUCCAGGACACCACGCCCGGACUCUCUGCACCCCAUACGAGAAUUACAGCUUGGUGGGCAAUCACCAAUUUACCUGGCAGUAGGGAGUCCUUCAUCAAAAGCCUGUGCUUCCAGGAGCCAGCACAAAGUAGGAGCCCCCAGAAAAACUGUUUCAGGUGCUCCUGAAACCUGGGUAGAGUCACAGCCUGGCAGGAAGCACCAGUGAUGAAAGUGUGCCCAAGACUGGGAGGAUGGUCAGAUGCCUGGAGACCAGACCAGCCUGCAGCAGAUGACCACUUCUCUCUUGUUCGUUAGAGAUAGACAGUCUGGGCUUCAUUUUGUAUGUGGAGUCUCAUGGCACAGAAAUACCACAAAGGGAUUAGACUUCAUGUACCCCAAUUUUUUAAAUUAAAAAAAAAUCACAUUUAUUGCAACUAAUUCUAAAUCCAAAGAAGAAAAAUAAAUAAGUAUAAAAAUGCAUGCCUACAAAAUGUAAACCACAAUCUCUUUCCUCACAGGAGACUCAAAAUUUAGUUUACCUUUUCUUCAGUUUUAUCUAAUUUUUUUAAGCCAUUACUGAGGUGUCUCCUCACUGCCUCAUGAGGAGGUUCAUGGGCUUUUGGGGGCUCUUUGCUGUUUUAUCAUUUUUUAGGUUUAAGGGCAGGAUCAUUUUCCCACACUUGUUUGCUUCCUUGAUGGCCAAUUUUUCACAAGGACAUCAUUGUGCAUCUGAAAACCUAGUAACUGAACUUCAUUAAAAGUGAAAAAAAUAAGGUCAUGUUGGCUGCUAUGACAACAUCCUCAGUCACCGAAUCUCCCUGGGGUACCAGACACAACCCCAAUUUCCUUGUAACCCCAGCAUGCAUGUAUCGCUGCGGCUAACAGGACUGGCCUAUCCUGGGGGAGGUAUGAAAGCAAAGAGAAGAGAAGGCAGGUGACUCAUUUAGGAAACUCAGGUGAUCCUAUCGAGCCACGUUUCUCAGGGCGUCAGGGGACCAGCCACAUGCAGGGAACCUCCUGGCCUGGCAGGUGGCAGACUCCUGGCACCCUCCUCAGACACGUUAAUCAGAGAAUAUAAAGGCGGGUAAAUUCUGAAAAGUAUCUGUAAAGGAAGGACUUAGCUCUGCUGUGAGCCCACUACAUGCGGGGUCGUGCAGGACGCCACUCCCAGCGUCCAGUCUCCAUUUCACCCUCCUGGGAGGAACACCCGUCAAGUCAUAGAGCACGGUCUUCAGCGAACACCUUCCUGCGUGACCUCCACUGUCACCCAGCCCUGCAGGAGUAGCCGCUGAGUAGGGGAAACAAGUCUUUUCUUCUGAUCCGGCCACUGGGCAUAAGACCAACACUCCUAUGUCUCUGGGGAAAGGAGCGGCCCUGGGCAGGAAUGCACUUGGCAGCCCCAGGGAGGGGCCAGGUGUGGAGGACCAGUCCUCUGUCCGCAGACACAUCAGUAUAGUAUCCUAGAGCAGAACAUCCAGCCCAGCUGAGCCUAUAUAUGGCCGCACUCUGGACAGCAACUUCCCGGUGACCAGGGGGACUGGGCCAGAGCCGCUCAGCAGGGCUGCCCUGAAUUUGCAACCUGAAGAAGCUGUACAGUCGUACGUGUAUGUUGCCUUAAGCCCCUAGGUUUUGGGGUCACUUGUCAGACAGCGACAGACAGUGGAUGCACAUGGGCUCCCAGGCCACGAUGGCCUCUGACGGCCUCA